CUGCUGUGUGAUCUUAAUUUAAUGCAUAAAAUCUAUUUACAACAUCACCAAACCUGUUUCUUCGUGUAUAAAAUGGAGAUCGUGCGAAGGGUUAAAUAUAAUACUGUAUGUAAAGCCUGGCUCAAAUAGUUGCUAUUCUUAAUUUAAAGAUAACGUUGGAGCCAAAUUGCAUCAUACACAAUCCUGCAUAUCCAGUGCUCAGUUUGGUGUGCAUUCUCCCAUGGGAAACUCGGACGGAAUGAUAAAGGUGAAGAUUCUUUGGAUCCACUGCUCCAGCUGGGCAGGAGCAAUGAUAGCCACAACAGAAACUGGCUUUGGACAAGAAUGAUUGGCUGCUGAGGGCAAAUAAGUGAUUUGCUAUUUAUUCACCAAGACUGCAUUCUAGUAAACAAGGGCUUUUCAGUUGAUCUCAAAUUCUCCCAAUGGUAUGAGAAGGAUGUUUGGCCUGGAAUGCUUGGCUUUUGUUGAAUAAUCCUGUGAAUGGAGCAAGUAAAAAGGAAGAUGGAAGAAUUAUACAGGAACAUUGGAGGAUGGGUGAAAAAAUAUUUAUAAGCAGAGCUAGAGGACAGUUUAAAUAUAUCUGGAGUGUUUGCCUUGAUGACAGGAGCUCUUUAGCGACUGUCCAUUUGAAAACUAAGAAUUUUGAGCUGGGCGUGGUAGCUCCUGCCUGUAAUCCUAGCACUCUGGGAAGUGGAGAGAGGACUGCCUGGUUCAAGAC